GGAUGGUGUGGGCAUAUUGUACGAUUGACAGAGUGAUUUAAAAUCUUUCAUGAAAAUCAACUCAGAUUUAAAGCAACGGAUUAGAUUCACUAGGUUCAUAAAUCAUAUAGAGAAAGAAUAUCAAAGGAAAGAUAAAUUAACAAGAUAGAACAUGGCUGAUCAAGCAAUACUAUUUGACAAUCUGAUUGGUUUAAUAAAGAUGAUUUAAGUAAAUCAUGAUUGAAUUAUUGUAUGGAUAGUUCAAU
rnacentral:lncRNA from 1 species